rnacentral:lncRNA from 1 species
CUUUUUGAGCCAUGCCAUUUCAAACCUAAAGGGGUUGGGCCUUUAGUAACACUUUGGGUGUCCAACAAAAUGGGUUUGUUGUUCGAGGUGAUUUCAUGGAGUACAAGAGAGUGGGUUUCAGGGAAAAUCUCAUCCCACAUAAGGCUAGUGAGGAAUUUGUCCAGUUUGGACAAGGAGGGAGAGAAUGUGUGCUUUGAUCAUGCUCGCCCCUUGAAGUGGUAUGUCAAUGAGCUUGUUUCUUGAAAUGAAGUCCAAAAAGUCCAACAUUCCCUGCGAUAUCCUGGUACACUUGUAUUUCUUUCAAAAGACCACUUAAGUUGAAAUCUCCCUCGCGGCACCAAGGAGAGGGUGGGAGAGAUGUUAUUGCGUCCAAUUCAGUCCAUAACAUAUCAUGGGUGGAAUUCAAAUUGGGACCAUAAAUAGGUGAGAAUUUCCACUGCAGGCUAUCUGAUACCCUCAACAAGGCAAUUGUGACGGAGAAAUUACCCACACAGGUAUGGGUGAGGGAGUAGAGGGUUGGGUCCCAAAUGAUCUAGAUGUCCCCUGAGGCCCCUUAGGCUUCAAGUGCUUCGCAUUAAUAAGGUCUAAAACCCCAAAUUUGUUGAAUGUGUAAGAGGGAUGGUCGGGUGAGUUUGGUCUCAAUGAUGGCCAGUACUAAGGGCAAGUAUUGAAGGCAAAAAUCUUUAAUGGAAUUGCGUUUUUGGGGUUAGUCGAGAUGCAUCGCAUUCCAUUCUGGGGAGGGGUUAGAGGAAGGUACACUUCUAGGUGAGCACCUAAGAGUUCGCCGAGGGGAGAGGGACGACAAAGAGGGUACAGAAGGGGGUGAGGGUCUACUCCUGUCAUAGGAGAUGCCGCAAUGAAGAUUGGAGGGCUCCCUUGAGAGUGACCCAUUCUUCAUAUGUCUGGUUUGUGUGUUGACUUUGAGAAAGUCCCAGAAUUCCUUAUACAACCCAUCAUAUUUGAAACCCAUCACCUUGACAACUUCAUGGAUGUCUCCCCGUGCCUGAUCCAUCCUAUUUACAAAGUUGGAGUCAACAGAUUGAGGGAAAGAUACUUGGGAGCUUGCAGGGGAUGUCAGGUCGCUGGUGUUGCCAUGUGAGGGAGAGAACGUUGGUCGGCCUUGCCUCGAUGCAUUGUUUCAGGUUGAUGAGAGUGGAGAAGGAAGACCAAUGAUAGAAUAUGAGGAGAUCCUCACUGAGGGUGAGGGGGGC